rnacentral:rRNA from 1 species
AGUUCUCGUUGAUGAUCGGUGCUUGCACCGAGAUUCAACAUGGAACGAGUGGCGGACGGGUGAGUAACACGUGGGUAACCUGCCCUUAAGUGGGGGAUAACAUUUGGAAACAGAUGCUAAUACCGCAUAGAUCCAAGAACCGCAUGGUUCUUGGCUGAAAGAUGGCGUAAGCUAUCGCUUUUGGAUGGACCCGCGGCGUAUUAGCUAGUUGGUGAGGUAACGGCUCACCAAGGCGAUGAUACGUAGCCGAACUGAGAGGUUGAUCGGCCACAUUGGGACUGAGACACGGCCCAAACUCCUACGGGAGGCAGCAGUAGGGAAUCUUCCACAAUGGACGCAAGUCUGAUGGAGCAACGCCGCGUGAGUGAAGAAGGCUUUCGGGUCGUAAAACUCUGUUGUUGGAGAAGAAUGGUCGGCAGAGUAACUGUUGUCGGCGUGACGGUAUCCAACCAGAAAGCCACGGCUAACUACGUGCCAGCAGCCGCGGUAAUACGUAGGUGGCAAGCGUUAUCCGGAUUUAUUGGGCGUAAAGCGAGCGCAGGCGGUUUUUUAAGUCUGAUGUGAAAGCCCUCGGCUUAACCGAGGAAGCGCAUCGGAAACUGGGAAACUUGAGUGCAGAAGAGGACAGUGGAACUCCAUGUGUAGCGGUGAAAUGCGUAGAUAUAUGGAAGAACACCAGUGGCGAAGGCGGCUGUCUGGUCUGUAACUGACGCUGAGGCUCGAAAGCAUGGGUAGCGAACAGGAUUAAAUACCCUGGUA